UGGCGUCAGGACGAACGCUGGCGGCAUGCCUAACACAUGCAAGUCGAACGGAGCUUAAGAGGCUUGCCUUUAAGCUUAGUGGCGGACGGGUGAGUAACGCGUGAGCAACCUGCCUCUCAGUGGGGAAUAAUGUACUGAAAAGGACACUAAUACCGCAUGAUGUAUUUGAGUCGCAUGAUUUGAAUACCAAAGAUUUAUCGCUGAGAGAUGGGCUCGCGUCCGAUUAGUUUGUUGGUGAGGUAACGGCUCACCAAGGCGACGAUCGGUAGCCGGACUGAGAGGUUGAACGGCCACAUUGGGACUGAGACACGGCCCAGACUCCUACGGGAGGCAGCAGUGGGGGAUAUUGCGCAAUGGGGGAAACCCUGAACCGCAGCAAUGCCGCGUGGAGGAUUGAAGGUCUUCGGAUUGUAAACUCCUUUUGUCAGGGAAGAUAAUGACGGUACCUGACGAAUAAGCUCCGGCUAACUACGUGCCAGCCGCCGC
rnacentral:rRNA from 1 species